UAGGGAAUCUUCGGCAAUGGGGGGAACCCUGACCGAGCAACGCCGCGUGAGUGAAGAAGGUUUUCGGAUCGUAAAGCUCUGUUGUUAAGGAAGAACGAGUGUGAGAAUGGAAAGUUCAUGCUGUGACGGUACUUAACCAGAAAGGGACGGCUAACUACGUGCCAGCAGCCUCGGUAAUACGUAGGUCCCGAGCGUUGUCCGGAUUUAUUGGGCGUAAAGCGAGCGCAGGCGGUUAGAAAAGUCUGAAGUGAAAGGCAGUGGCUCAACCAUUGUAGGCUUUGGAAACUGUUUAACUUGAGUGCAGAAGGGGAGAGUGGAAUUCCAUGUGUAGCGGUGAAAUGCGUAGAUAUAUGGAGGAACACCGGUGGCGAAAGCGGCUCUCUGGUCUGUAACUGACGCUGAGGCUCGAAAGCGUGGGGAGCGAACAGG
rnacentral:rRNA from 1 species